CGCGGUGUAUGGAAGUGGUCAUCCGCUUGGUCUCAUAAGCCAAGAAUCGCUGGUUCGAAUCCAGCCAUCGCAACCA
rnacentral:tRNA from 1 species